UACGAAGGGGGCGAGCGUUGUUCGGAUUUACUGGGCGUAAAGGGCGCGCAGGCGGCUCAUUUUGUCAGGCGUGAAAGCCCCGGGCUUAACCUGGGAACUGCGUUUGAUACGGAUGGGCUAGAGUUCGGGAGAGGAGAGUGGAAUUGCGAGUGUAGAGGUGAAAUUCGUAGAUAUUCGCAGGAACACCAGUGGCGAAGGCGGCUCACUGGUCCAUAACUGACGCUGAGGUGCGAAAGCGUGGGGAGCAAACAGG
rnacentral:rRNA from 1 species